UACAGAGGUCCCGAGCGUUGUUCGGAUUCAUUGGGCGUAAAGGGUGCGUAGGCGGUCUGCUAAGUUUGGUGUGAAAUCCCGGGGCUCAACCCUGGAAUUGCAUUGAAUACUGGUGGACUAGAGUACUGGAGAGGAAACUGGAAUUUACGGUGUAGCAGUGAAAUGCGUAGAGAUCGUAAGGAAGACCAGUGGCGAAGGCGAGUUUCUGGACAGUUCCUGACACUGAGGCACGAAGGCCAGGGGAGCAAACGGG
rnacentral:rRNA from 1 species